UCUAUGUCUCUGUUCAUUCUUAUGAUUGCCUCUUAAACCCCAAAAUGAUACAUGUAUUUUGAAUUCACAACAAUUUAGAGUUUAGUAAAUUACCCUGUUUGUGCUCAUUCCUAUUUACAACCUGACACGUUAACAGUUACCAGCUUGGCUUGUUGUUUGACCCUGUCUGCUCUGAUAUUUAGACUGAACUGAUACUGAACCUGACCCUGGGACCUUCUACUGAAAGUGAUCCCGAGCUGCUUGUCUUGAGCACUAACCUGUCUGACUACCCUACA